rnacentral:pre_miRNA from 8 species
CUCUAUUGCUUGGUCCUCAGGCCCCAGGUGCAGUGCUGCAUCUCUGGUCAAUUGGGAGUCUGAGAUGAAGCACUGUAGCUCGGGAAGGAGGGUGCUGCUACAGC